UACGUAGGGUGCAAGCGUUAAUCGGAAUUACUGGGCGUAAAGCGUGCGCAGGCGGUUUUGUAAGCCAGAUGUGAAAGCCCCGGGCUUAACCUGGGAAUGGCAUUUGGGACUGCAAGGCUGGAGUUUGGCAGAGGAGACUGGAAUUCCUGGUGUAGCAGUGAAAUGCGUAGAUAUCAGGAGGAAUACCGAUGGCGAAGGCAGGUCUCUGGGCUAUAACUGACGCUCAUGCACGAAAGCGUGGGUAGCGAACAGG
rnacentral:rRNA from 1 species